AAAAAAAGGAAGGUGCAAGCUCGCUACUCCUGUUCUGUGUAUGGCACUGGUAGAAUUCACUGUGCAACCCCGCGGUCAGUGAAUUACCAUAGGGCCAUAAACAGAGCAGAGAAAGACCCGCGAGCCCCGCGGGGCCAUCGCCGACGUCACCUGGCCCGUUUUGGCACUAGCACAUUUUUGCUUUUAUUUGUAGCUUUUGAGCAAUUAUGUGUAGUGCCAAUAUGGGAGGAGGUGGAGAGAGCAGCGCCGGGGCGGGGGACGGACGAGCAUCGGUGCUGGGGAGGUGGGGUCAGCGAGGGGGGAUGCUGCUGGGGGUGGGAAGGUGGAACCCACCCUCCCCAAGUUGCUGGGGUGAUGGAAGGGUGGCCGUCAGCCCCCAUUCAUGGGUGUCAUUGAGGGGGUGUCCAGCCCAACGUGGUGGCCCAGCCUGUGGUGGCAUCUCAGCCAGGCCAUGUCCCCAUGGUGGCUGUCACAAGGGGGAUGGGACCCCCCCCCCCUUCCCCACGCCUUGUCCCCUCCCUCGCCACAGUGGUGGCAUCUCCCCAGGGUUGAGAUGAGCAUCUCCACAGGGGUUGAGCAUGGAGGUUUCUGGCUGGAUGGAUGAAAUUAUAUAUAUAUAUAUUUUUUUCCUAUUUUUUGCAGCUUUCCAGACCUGGCACCAUGGCCAUGUGUGGGUGUGUGUGUCCCCCCCCCCGGCCCUGUCCCCAUGCCAGGGCCUGGCUGCUGAGAUGGUGCCGGCGGUGCCCGGCCCCAGGGCUGCCUUUGGCAAUGGUAGAACUCACACUGGUGCGGUAGCAGGAUCCGGUGGUUCUAGACUUGCCAACUACAGCCCCGGGGAACCGCCGCGGACACGGACCCCUGGCACCCAUGGGUGCAGCCGGGCACCCUGUGCAUCCCCCCCCCCCCCCCCAUCCCCCCUCCCAGAGCUCUGCUGCCAGGCUGGGAGGGUGCUCAUGGGGUCCUGCUCCAUCCAGUAUGGAUUUUGGGGAGGGGGGGGAUGCAGUGGGUGUCUGUGUGCAUGUGGCACAGGGGGGUGGUGAUGGUGUGACCCCCCUCCCCGUCAAGGAGGGGGUCUGGCAUCUCAGGGUGUCUCCAUGAAGGGGGGGGGGGGGAUGACACAGGGACCUGCUGGAUACUGGUCAUUUGAGCAGCACGGCCGCGUGUCCCCGCGUGACUCCGGGCGUUAAGGGCUGAUCCGGCCCCAUGGUGUGGGCAGAGCAGCUUGGAGCGGGGGGGGGGUGGAAUUAGGUGACCAGCUCCUGCCCCAGAUCCAGCCCUGACGCAGCCCCCCCACUUCGGGGAAGGGAGUAAGGGGGGAGACUGAGGCACUGGUGAAAGCAGCUGCCACAUGUCCCCAGGUGCAGGAGGGAUGGGGACAGCUUUUAGGGAGGACGGGGGUAGCACGGGAAGGGGCAGCUCUCUGAGACCUUGGGGGGUGGGGGGGUUGUGCACACCCCCUUCACCCCCCCCACCGUCCCUCCCGGGGCGGCUGGUUGGGAUAUGUAGGGCAGCGCUGGGUGAUUACGGGGCUUUCGGCGUAAGCCCGCGGAGAUUGGAUCACUCUGGAUUAGGCUGCACGCUCAAAUCAUCCUCCCUGCACCGGGGGGGGGUGGGGAGGGACAGACAGACGGACGGAUGGACGGGGUCCCCAUCACCCUCCCAGGGUAGGUGGGGGGCUGGGGCGCACAGGUUGUCUGUGUGUCUGUCCAUUCAUCCGUGUGGUCAUCCAGCUAGCAAAUGUCCAUCUGUCCGUUCAACCAGCUGCCUGGCCGUUGUCUGUACAGCUAGUCAUCCCUCUGUCUGUCUGUCUGUCCAAGCCUUUGAACCAUCCAUCUACCCAUCCAGCUGUCUACCCAUCCAGCCGUCUGUCCAGGCAGCCAGCCGUUGCUCCAUCUACCAGUCCGUCCAUCCAUCCAUCCAUCCAUCCAUCCAUCCAUCCAUCCAUCCAUCCAUCCAUCCAUCCAUCCAUCCAUCCAUCCAUCCAUCCAUCCAUCCAUCCAUCCAUCCAUCCAUCCAUCCAUCCACCCACCCACCAGUCAGUCUGUCCAUCCCUCCCUCCCUCCUACCGACUCAGCAAUAGGGCCCUGCCCCGAGGUGGGGGGGGCAGGGGUGGAGCAUCCCCCCGCCCCACCCCUCCCAUUAGGCCACACCCCCACGAGAAGCCCCGCCCCUCCCCAAAGGCUCCUCCCCCAGCAGUCACCCAAAGGGGAGCUGGUGCUCCUGGGGACCACCCCACCCCACCCCCGGCACCUGCACCCUAUUGGGGAUCACCCCGAGACCCCCCCCCCCACCCUGCCCCUUCCCAGCUGCACCGGCUGGGCUCAUCCUGAGCACCCAGCAGCACUUUGGGGCUGAAAUCCUGCAAUUUGGAGCCAAAUCCUGCCAUUUGGGGCCCACCCUGGGCGAAGCAGUGCCGGGGUGGAGGGGGGGGUGGGAUGGGGUAGAAGCAACAAACCCCCACACGGGAGCCCACACUUGGGGGGCACCCCCCCCUUCUCUCCCCAGUGCCUGGGCGACCCCCACAUAGUGCCUGGGCUGGGGAGGGGGCGCAGGAUCGGCCCCCCCCCCAGCUUCUCCCCAACUGGGAAAGACGAAGCGGAGCUUGGGGGGGCCGGCGGGAGCCGCCUCAGCGGGAGGCCCCGACCUGCUUAUUAAAGACCGAUUAACGAAGAUUAAAACCUCCCGGCAGCGUCUGCCGGGCCGAGCCCCUUCCCCCACCAGCGUGGUGGCGGAUCCGGGGCCCCUUUGAGGGACCCCCAGCCCGGCCAGGGGGUGUCCUGGGGUCCCCCGGGGUACCGGCAUCCCCAGGACGCGGCGCUCGGCCGAGGAUCGAGGACACCCACGAGCAUCCGCGGGUGCUCGGGUUACAAGAAACCCGCAGGAUUCACGGAGCCAGGGCCGCAACCGUCCCGCGGCCGGAGUUCAAAUAAAGCUGCUGAAACCCAUCGCUCCGCUUCCCCGCUCCUCCUUGGGUUUGCGCCCCCGGAUAAUGCGCCCCGCUUUGUCGGGGGGGAGGGACGGGACGGGGGGGGGACGGGACGGGACGGACGGCGGUGGCUGCCGCAGCUGAAAACGGAGGAAUUCGCCCCAAAAGGCCAGCUCAGCUCCGGGGUGGGAACACCGGGGGGGGGAUGCUCAAGCAACCCCCUGGUUUCCACCCGGCCCCAGGUUGGAAAAGGAAGGAGGUGAAAUUGCACAAAGGCAGAAUUAAACCCCUAAAAUCAUCCCGGCAUUGAGUGGUUCCUCCUCUCCAGCCCCCAACGUCGCAGCAGGGCAGAGCGGAGCCCCAAAACCCCCACUGAGGAGGGGGGGGGAAGGCAGGAUACACCAAACCCCCCCAAAACAGAAGAGCCAGACCACAGGGGUAAACACAUUUGUAACAAUUUAUUGAAUGAGGCAAUAAUAGACACUGGGAAAACAAGGGGGGGGGUCCAUGCUCUGCUACUUGCCUGGUUUUUGUCUUUUUUGGGGGGGGGGGGAGGGGGAGGGCAGGGGGGAACCUCUCGGACUAAAAGAACGUCAUUGCCAAAGAAACACUGACUUGAAAGCCACCGACAUCUUCACGACGACAAUAAAAAAAUAAUAAUUAAAAAAAAUUAAUAAUAACAAAUCGGAGAACCAGGACUGUUUCUAUGGAAAGAUCUCCCUCCCCUCAUUAAAGUACAGAAGAAAGGUAUACAAAGAACAUCUGAUAUUUUUCCAUAUAAAACAAGUAAAUACAAGAAUCUGAAAACUUUCUUGAAGGCGGAGCGAGAUGUGAAGAACUUUGUUAAUGGCCACUUGGAAAUAAUAAUAAUUAAAAAAAAAAAAAAAAAAUUAAAUACCAUGCACAACUGCACGCGCGGCGGGGCUGUGGCUGACGGAAGGUUCGGCUGGGGGCUGCCGCUGCGACGCGAGGGUUUAGCCUAUGGGAAAGCCAAGUAAAUUUGCCAAAAAAACCCCUCCGAGGCCUUUUUUUAAACUCUCCUGGAGAGGUUUUUGGGGUGAUGGGGAUUCAAAGUCCCCAGCAGCAGCAGAGCUGUGCUGGGAGAUGUACGCAGGGCAGGAGCAGGGGGGUGGUUUGGGGGGUGGAGGGGUGCAGAGGGGUCCCCCCGAAGGGAAGGGUUUGCGCUCGCAUCCCCUCCGCUGCCUUCAAGGGAAGAUUUUCCUGCGGGAAUCGGAAUCUCCAGGGCCGGGCAGGGGAGGAUGGGGGGGUCCUGGGGGGUGGCAGCGGGGCUCCUGGGCGAGGGAAACGUGGGGAAGGGGGAGGCCCCGCAGCCAGAGCCCCUCUGGAGGCGUUUCCACUCCGGUCUAGAUCCACGAAAACGGGAAAUAAUAAUAAUAAUAA